UACGUAGGGUGCAAGCGUUAAUCGGAAUUACUGGGCGUAAAGCGUGCGCAGGCGGUUUUGUAAGUCUGUCGUGAAAUCCCCGGGCUCAACCUGGGAAUUGCGAUGAAGACUGCAAGGCUUGAAUCUGGCAGAGGGGGGUAGAAUUCCACGUGUAGCAGUGAAAUGCGUAGAGAUGUGGAGGAACACCGAUGGCGAAGGCAGCCCCCUGGGUCAAGAUUGACGCUCAUGCACGAAAGCGUGGGGAGCAAACAGG
rnacentral:rRNA from 1 species